CCAGACUCCUACGGGAGGCAGCAGUGGGGAAUAUUGGACAAUGGGGGGAACCCUGAUCCAGCGACGCCGCGUGAGUGAAGAAGUAUUUCGGUAUGUAAAGCUCUAUCAGCAGGGAAGAAAGAAAUGACGGUACCUGACUAAGAAGCCCCGGCUAACUACGUGCCAGCAGCCGCGGUAAUACGUAGGGAGCGAGCGUUAUCCGGAAUUAUUGGGUGUAAAGGGUGCGUAGACGGGAACUUAAGUUAGUUGUGAAAUCCCUUAGCUCAACUAAGGAAUGGCAACUGAAACUGGGUUUCUUGAGUGCAGGAGAGGAAAGUGGAAUUCCUAGUGUAGCGGUGGAAUGCGUAGAUAUUAGGAGGAACACCGGUGGCGAAGGCGACUUUCUGGACUGUAACUGACGUUGAGGCACGAAAGUGUGGGGAGCAAACAGGAUUAGAUACCCCGGUAU
rnacentral:rRNA from 1 species